UUGGUCACGAGAUUCACAAGUAUGCUACGGUUAUGCUCGUAACGACCUGCGUAAGCACUCGCGAUGUUAGCAACCAUAGAUCACAUACGCUAAUGGGCAAAUCGUAACCAAGAAACCAUUGUUGACCGUAACGAUUUGUUUGUUUGCUCGACCAUCCCAGACUCUGACCUUCAGUCAAUUUGACCAUCAGCCCAUCAGUCACGGUUUAUUCACGACUUCAAACAUUUCGUAAUUUCACGUUUUAAUUACUACCGGAAGAAAAUUGUCCGAUUACUAGACCUAGACGCGAUUCCUGUUACCGUUUCCGUAAUCGUCCGCGCAUCGCUUGGUGUAUAGCUACAAUUGUGAAAGAGCCCCUGGAAGAACAAGGACCGAUAAGGUGACGUUGCCCUGUUGAUAUCGACAUGUCGGACAUUCCCAACGUUCCUGAACAUAGGCGGAACGUAAGCUUACGCGUUUAGUUGGUCAAGUCUCCACACUGCAGGAUUUCAUCUGGUCCAGGACUAAAGGUGUCGGAAGAACAACGAAGAUGAUCGCUUUUUUGGAUUUUGAUUUCAUGAUCAAUCCCAACCUUCAUCCCAACCCUCGGCCCACAUCGUUCCAGGCGCCUCUGUAGUCAUAAUAAAGUGAAUAAUAUUGAACUAAAAUGUAUUUAUGUGAAUAAAUAUGUGAUGCAAAUAUUUUUAAUUAAUUAUUGCUUAUGCAUUUCUGAAAAAGGUUUGGUCGAACAUAUGUGAGAGCUAGAGCACCAUUUGAAAGAACAGGUCGUUCCUACUGCGGCCAGCAGGCAUAGGCAAAACUACCGGGGGUGCCAUGCACCCCCUAGAAGAAUUUAAAUACAAUGCUGUGCGAUAUGGGGCGCUGAAUGGUGAAUAGAUGAACUAAUGAACAUUUGUUCGUAGUGGCCAAAAUCCGUAGUUUCGCUCUUGCCAGCAGUUAGCCUAGCGCACUGUGUUAAAUUAUGUUUCAUAAAUCAAGAGUGUUGACUACUCGUGAAAACAAAUUCUCAGUGGUCAGAAUUCAAAACGGUGGAGUAAUUUUGAUGAACACUCUAGUUUAGUAACUACUGUAAUGACCUUCAUGACCGUCGAUUCAGUAGUCGAUGACGGUCGUUGUUUGAAAAACUUCAUUGCAGUUUUCUAUGGUUACUUGAACCUUUCUUUCGAUGGACGUUCGCAACCCGAAAAGCUUCUGAGCAACGGCGUAGACGAUUUGAUGAGCCUAUUGCGAUGAAGCGAAUGUGAAUGCGGAAGAAUAUUUUCUGUUACAUGAAAGUGAUUGCCAACGGUGACU